CCACGCUGAAUGUUUCUUUAUGAGGCUUGUGUUGCUCCUCGGAGCGACUAGCCGAAGGUUUCGCAAGAAGCCGAUGUAAUUUUUAAUCCCUUUUAAAUAAUAUCUGAUCAAAAACUGCAGGCAGAAAUGCGUGCAUUCAAUUGAAAUACAACUUUCAACAGUGGAUGUCUAGGCUCGCACAUCGAUGAAGAACGCUGCGAACUGCGAUACGUAAUGCGAAUUGCAGAAUUCAGUGAGUCAUCAAAAUUUUGAACGCAUAUUGCACUUCCGGGUUAGUCCUGGGAGUAUGUUUGUAUCAGUGUCCGUUAAUACAAAAUUGUUUCAUUUAUUUGAAGCAGAAUGUGAAGUGUCUUGUUUCGGCAAGUCCUUUCAAAUGAGUAUUACCUGUACGUCCUCGUGGGAUGCACUAUAUAAAGGUAUAUAUGAUUUGGAUUUCGAAUGUUUUGUGUGAUGGUAUACAAUUUACGAAGGAGAAAUGAAUUGCGGUAUUUUAGCUUGUGCUUCGGUACGAGUGAACACAAUAUUGCUUUUUGUUGAUCUGGAGAGGUUGGUAGCUGGAAGACAGGAUGCGUUGUCAAAUAGUAUGUACUGGUGUAUUCCUUGAUGUAUGGAGGAAAAUUGGGAAUUAUAUCCAAUUUGGACCUGAUAUCAAACAAGA
rnacentral:rRNA from 1 species